rnacentral:rRNA from 1 species
GACGGGUGAGUAAUGCAUAGGAAUCUACCCAGUAGCGGGGGAUAACUCGGAGAAAUUCGAGCUAAUACCGCAUACGCCCUACGGGGGAAAGCGGGGGACUCUUCGGAGCCUCGCACUAUUGGAUGAGCCUAUGUCAGAUUAGCUUGUUGGUGGGGUAAAAGCCUACCAAGGCGACGAUCUGUAGCUGGUCUGAGAGGAUGAUCAGCCACACUGGGACUGAGACACGGCCCAGACUCCUACGGGAGGCAGCAGUGGGGAAUAUUGGACAAUGGGCGCAAGCCUGAUCCAGCAAUGCCGCGUGUGUGAAGAAGGCCUGAGGGUUGUAAAGCACUUUUAUUAGGAAAGAAAAACCCGGAAUUAAUACUUCCGGCAUUGACGGUACCUAAGGAAUAAGCACCGGCUAACUCAGUGCCAGCAGCCGCGGUAAUACUGAGGGUGCAAGCGUUAAUCGGAAUUACUGGGCGUAAAGCGAGUGUAGGCGGAUUGGCCAGUCAGAUGUGAAAUUCCGGGGCUUAACUUCGGAGCUGCAUUUGAAACUACCAGUCUUGAGGAUAGGCGGAGAAAAUGGAAUUCCACGUGUAGCGGUGAAAUGCGUAGAUAUGUGGAGGAAUACCAGUGGCGAAGGCGGCCCGCUGGACCAAUACUGACGCUGAGGUGCGAAAGCGUGGGGAGCAAACNNNNUNAGAUACCCUGGUAGUCCACGCCGUA